AACGAACGCUGGCGGCAGGCCUAACACAUGCCAGUCGAGCGCGCCCUUCGGGGUGAGCGGCGGACGGGUGAGUAACGCGUGGGAACGUGCCCUUUUCUACGGAAUAGCCUCGGGAAACUGAGAGUAAUACCGUAUACGCCCUUUGGGGGAAAGAUUUAUCGGAAAAGGAUCGGCCCGCGUUGGAUUAGGUAGUUGGUGGGGUAAUGGCCUACCAAGCCGACGAUCCAUAGCUGGUUUGAGAGGAUGAUCAGCCACACUGGGACUGAGACACGGCCCAGACUCCUACGGGAGGCAGCAGUGGGGAAUCUUAGACAAUGGGGGCAAACCUGAUCUAGCCAUGCCGCGUGAGUGAUGAAGGCCUUAGGGUUGUAAAGCUCUUUCAGCUGGGAAGAUAAUGACGGUACCAGCAGAAGAAGCCCCGGCUAACUCCGUG
rnacentral:rRNA from 1 species